CGCGUUGCAAAAGUCAAAAAGGGAGAUCUUUCCGUUCAGUCACGCAGCAAUGUAUUGUACUUUACAGAGGGGAGAUCUUCCUACUCGGUUGGCUAAGUGUUAAUAUAGGUCUCUUAAGCUACACAGUAGCAUUGUUAUUCGUUAGAAAAUGGUUACUCGCCCGCAGAAUUAAUAUAUUCAAGAAAGAUUCGGUCUCAUAUUCUUAUUUUUUUAAAAAAAACUUAGGUCCCCUUAUAGAGCACGACAGAGUAGCUUUUAAAUAAAAUGCGAGAAAAAAUAAACAGGAGAAAAUGUACAAUAACCUACACAUGAAGAAACUUUCUGUAUUAAAAAGAAGCGAUAAGGUUUGGAUUAUAGACAUGUGAUUGUACACCAAAAUUAUAGAUCAGGAUGAUAGUAAUUCAUACUUCAUUGGAACAGAAAGUGGUGACAAGAUUCGACGAAAUCGAUGACACCUCGUCUCGGUUUCGUACAAACACAGUUUGAAGAUGAAUGGCGUUAGUGUACCAAUAAUAACUCCUGAGCCUGCGCGAACCAGUGCAGCGAUAUCCUCAAGUGUAAAUUACAACCAGAACAUGAACAGCGAAAAUCCUCGCGCACAAGGCAAAGUGGUCCGAAACGACAAUCUCGACGAUAACGUAGGUUAUCUCGGAAUAGAAAACCUCCCGAAAUACUGAUCUGUUUUAUGUGAAUAUAUAACAUCUACUACUUAUAAGGUUACAAAUAAGGACAACAACGCCCUGUGGACAAAACGAGUUAGACACGAGAGAUCACGCUAUGCUUGUACGAUUCCGAAACCAUAAAACCGAACAAAAAUAAAGGAAGAGACGAUGAGCGACGACGAAUACGAAAUCGAAGAAGAUGAGCAUCAUUCAUUAACAAGAAGAGUCCUUACAAAUUGCUCGACACUGAUGAAACCAUGAUAUCUAGACGAUGAUGUUAUGUUAGCGAUAAAAUUUGUCAACGGAUCGGAAGAUCCAGAAACGUUUAAAACUGCUAUGAACAGCAAAGAAAGCGCUAAAUAGAGGGAAACCGUGAAUGUGGAAAUGUUCUCCCUACAAAAAAAUCAGAUGUGGAAGUUAAUGGAUCUACCAAAGAAUGUAAAUGCGAUACCGUGCAAAUGAAAAAUAUUCGCGUGGAAAGAAAUUCCAAUGACACGAUCGACAAAUACAAGGCAAGGUUAAUCAUUAAAGAAUUCAAUCAGUGUCAAAAUAUAGACUACAACCAAACAUUUAACCCAAUUGCAAAGAUGAGCACAAUAUGUUCAGUUGAUAUAUGAGUAUAGUAAACAGAUAUAUUUGACAUUCAAUGCGUCAACGGUAUUCUUAUAUUCAAAAUUCGACAAGACCAUAUGCAUGGAACAACCACAACGUUAUGGCGACAGUACCAACAAGAAUUGCUCGUGAAACUGGGAUUUCAAACAAGCGAUGUUGAAUCUUGCUUGUACAUCCGAGAUAAGAAUGGCAAGGAACUCAUACUGAUCCUAUAUGUAGAUAACGGAUUGCUAGGAACAACCGAUCCAGAAAAAUUAAUUUUUAUGUAAAACGUAAAAGAUUGUACGGUAACAUAGUAGAUUCAUAAAAGAAAUUAAAUUCAUUGCAUGAUUAUGCAAAAUCCAAAAAUACGUAAGUGCCCGAAUAUUUAUCAAUGGACUAUGUAGUGUACAUCAAAUAUAUUUAAUAAUUUCACAGAGAAAACAUUUUUUAAAUCUGAUGUUACUCUUCUUCGUAAGCAAAUGCAUAGACAAUAUACGAAUGUUAGAUAUUUUUCUAUUGUGGAUAUGAGAAAUUAAAUUAAUAAUAAAUAAAAUUUAGGUUAGUGUGGAAACUAAUGGUUUUUUUCAUUAAGAUAGAAACAAAAAAAAAAAAACACAAAUAAUCUAUUGAAAGUUGAAAUAAGUAAUAUCUGGUUUCUUCUUUCCAUCAAACACAAGAAAUAAACUUUAAUGAAACUAUUUGGGUUUGAAGAAAACUUGUGCAGAAUAUGAAAUAAAGUCGGAUGAAAAAUCGAUUUAAUACUACAAUUUCGGUUGGGUUAAACGAGAAGCACGUAGCAUAGAUAUCACAAAAGCAACAUCAAUCGUGACAAGACGUUUUCGUCAUUCGUAAAUUGUUCUCCGAUCAAAAAGUGUUGCAACAACGAUGUACCGGAUAUAUCAAUGAAAUAUCAUAAAUUUCACAUAAAGAAUACUUCAUCGAUACAUUGUUCAAAGAUGUCUGGACGUUUCAUUGAGAGGUUCUUCGUCAACGCUGCAGUGAUGGAUUUUCGCGUGUACGGACGUAAAAGCGCACCUGGCGUUCCGUUUUUCGAGGAGCCAUACUAAUCCAAUUGCAAGUACAACGGCUGAAAUUGAAAUUUAAAAAUACGAUUCGAGAGACGCUUUGCUCUUUUGUCAUGCAUCGAGAUAUUUGUGAACGGCCUGUCAGUUUUGGCAAUGAUCUCGAUCUCUACCAGCAGCAAUCUGCUCCAAUGAAAUUAGUGAAAUUUUCAACGAGUUAACCAAAUCAUUCGUAUGUGUUUGUUUAAAUAAAAUCAGUAUUUUCUAAGUCAAAAUUAUAUAGAAUUAGAAUUCUAUACAAGGUGUUCAUUAUAAUAAUGAACAACCAAAGUUAGUUAGAAAUUAAUUGACAAUGGACUAAAAUAUACAAAUUAGAAUAUUUUCCAAUUAAAAAUUGGGGUCACGUGUGUAUACUUUUCAAAAUAUAUAUAUAAGAGUCAAGAAAAGGAAAUGAUAAAGGAAAUGAUACAUUCUUGCUUAUUUUCUUAUUUUUAUACCGCUGUAUCUCUAAGAGGAAAUAUUUUAAUACAAAGAA